GAUGAACGUUGGCGGUGCGCUUUAUGCAUGCAAGUCGUACGGAGCCGUAGUUUUCGGAUUACGGUUCAGUGGCGGACGGCUGAGUAACACGUAGGUAACUUGCCCACGAGCGGGGGAUAACUUGCCGAAAGGUAGGCUAAUACCGCAUGACAUGGAUUUGCUAAAGCAGAUUCAUCAAAGCCGUAAGGCACUUGUGGAUAGGCCUGCGGCCGAUUAGCUAGUUGGCGGGGUAACGGCCCACAAGGCAGUGAUCGGUAGCUGGUCUGAGAGGAUGUCCAGCCAGAUGGGGACUGAGACACGGCCCCAACACCUACGGGUGGCAG
rnacentral:rRNA from 1 species